CACCCGGAGACACAAUCCGCAGCCCCCUGGGUCGGUGCAGUCACCAGCCAGUCCCCUGAGAACUUUCCCCUCCAGCACCCGGGAAAAUGGGAUUUUUGCUCCUUGUCAUUGUCGCUGUAGCAACUUUGGAAGGUGUCCGGUCGCAGACGCUGGUGGAGUCCGGAGGGGGUGUGAAAAAGCCCGGAGACUCUCUCCGCCUCUCCUGCAAAGCCUCCGGGUUAGACUUCAGCAGCUAUCCGAUGAACUGGGUCCGCCAGGCUCCCGGGAAAGGAUUAGAAUGGGUCGCUGUUAUAAGCUAUGAUGGGGGUAGUACACACUACCUCGAUGCAGUGAAAGGGCGAUUCACCAUCUCCAGGGAGAACUCCAAGAGUGAGCUGUAUCUGCAAAUGACCGGCCUGAAGCCCGAGGACACCGCCCGCUAUUACUGUGCGAGAGACACAGUGACACGAAACCGGUUUGUGAUCAUACAAAAACCCAGGCUGCGGAAUCGCCCUUCUCCCGGCGGCCGCGCGGGGGAGCAGCGACACCCGCCGCUUCGGGCUCGGGCAGGAGACCCGGCACCCGGGGGAAUGGAACACAAACCUCCCGCCAGUUUUAACCCUUCCGUUCCCGGACUCUGA